rnacentral:rRNA from 1 species
UCCGUGCGACAGGAGACGCUGGCGGCGUGCCUAACACAUGCAAGUCGAGCGAGUGGAGUUCUUGAACAAAGCUAGCGGCGGACGGGUGAGUAACACGUGGGCAACCUGCCUCAUAGAGGGGAAUAGCCUUCCGAAAGGGAGAUUAAUACCGCAUAAGAUUGUAGCUUCGCAUGAAGUAGCAAUUAAAGGAGCAAUCCGCUAUGAGAUGGGCCCGCGGCGCAUUAGCUAGUUGGUGAGGUAACGGCUCACCAAGGCGACGAUGCGUAGCCGACCUGAGAGGGUGAUCGGCCACAUUGGGACUGAGACACGGCCCAGACUCCUACGGGAGGCAGCAGUGGGAAUAUUGCACAAUGGGGGAAACCCUGAUGCAGCAACGCCGCGUGAGUGAUGACGGCCUUCGGGUUGUAAAGCUCUGUCUUCAGGGACGAUAAUGACGGUACCUGAGGAGGAAGCCACGGCUAACUACGUG